UGAUUAAAUAAGUAAAUAGAAUACAAAAUAAGUAAAUAGAAUAAUUUUAGAAUCUAAUUUAAAUAUUUCAUAUUUUUGCUGUUAAAAAGAAAACAUAUGAUAAUAGUUCACAUUGGAAGGAUUAACUAACAUCACCCUAACGUUCUUUUUCGAAAAUAACGCUCGAACCACGUGGUUUCAUAGAGAAAACAUAGUUUAAACCUAGGGAUGAUGGAACGACGACGAAGAAGAGUAUUCUCUUCAUUAACACAUACUUCAUCAGUGACUGUUAAUGAAUCACGUGUUCAUAUAUCAGCUUUGAAUGACUCUCGCCCUGUGUUUUUCCUAGCCUGUUAAUUUAUAUCUCGAGAAAACUCCUCGCGGAGGCCAUUUUCGGUGUCCAAAUAAAAAGGAGCCAUGAUUCUGAAAGACUAACCCCUUUGACUUGCAUAGUAAGUUAUCCUACUUUGGUCAAGGGAAACUAUUUUUUAUGUAAUGCUUUUAGAAUCCAUGUUAUUUCUUUUUUUUUUUUUUUUCCACAACUAAAAGCGGCUUCUUUGAUGGAAUUGAUUCUAAUUUUCUUUUUUAAUCUUUAAAUUAGGAUCGUAACCAUUCUAGGAAUGGAGUUUCCAUUUUGGAUGUUGCAUAAAACACCAUAACAUCGAAUCAACGAGAGAGGGAAGAUAACCACCCUUUCCGUUUCAAUGGGGAAACCGACAUCAGAGUUGCCCUUCUCCGCUUUCUUUUCAUUAAACCGACGACACGCAGUCGCUGAGGGGCGGCGCUUUCGAAUGGCAGCAUCAAGGCGCAGACGCCUUCGGUUUCACACCGUGCUUCCGGUUUCAACUAGAUCAAUCAUUUUCCCUAUCAGAAAUCUUUCCACUGUUCUGAAAUAAACGGCAGACCGCGAUGGAGCUUCCAUUUGCUUUUGCAAAUGUGUUUACACGGCACUAUAUACUUCACCGGAAUAAUUUCUGGUGUCUUUUUGCUCUGUACGAAAACGAACGAGUUUUCCUUGGCGCCUGUACUGCACCGGUAUUGUGAGAUCCGUGAUUCCGUGGUAUCGCCUGAGUAAAUUCCAUCCAUUGGUGGGGGCGGCGGCCCUUACAAUUUACUGUUUCCACGUUCCGAUCUAUUUUAAUUAUUCCUUCGCGGUUUGCCAUGAAAAAUUCCAUAAAUCUUCGUCCCCAAGAUAAUUAGCAGGGAUACUUUCGACUAGUGGGUAUAAAUCCUGUAAUUCUUUCCAGGAACCCCGGAACAUUGACAACAGACGAGAUGCACUGGAACUCCAGUGUUUCUCAAGCUUUAAAAUUUUAUGGAAAAAUUGAUUCAUAAUCUUCUUGUAAUUUUUUCAAUAAUGACAAUUUAAUAAUUUAUGAAAAUAAGGAAAAAUUUGAAUUAACAUGCUAUUUCAAUUUCAUUGGCUUAUAGUUAAUUAUUAUUUGAUUGUUUUUUUAAUAGCAAUUAUAGAAUGUGAGCGUCUAAUAUUCUUGCUUGAGAAUUCUCGUUAAAAUUUUUUAAAACUAAUCGUUUUAAAAAAUUUAGAAAUAUGAUAAAUUAGAUGAUUAGCUUUUUAUAUAAAAAAAAAAAAAUCAAUUAUUGAAUGAAAUCAUUGAGAAACGCUGUAUCAUGGUGUAUCACUUGAAAAAUGAAGGAACAGCGCGUAAAUUGUUAUUAUAGAGGUUUGAACGCUUGUAGCGGUUCUUAAUUCGUGAAGACAUUUAUUUGGUACACUUUGGUGCAAUAUAAUUCGACGCGUUUCUGCUAUUUUUACUGUUUUGUGAUUCAUUUACCCUACUAUUAAAAAGAAUUAUUGCCUUUGAGAUUCGAAACAUGUUACCACACCAACACCGUUCUCUAAUUUCUUCUUAACGAUUAAUUAUAUUUUAUUUUCAGAAGAAUAGGUAUUUCAAUGCUAGAGUUUUUUCAAUGCUAUAACGAAUCCGUACGUUUCUUCAUCUCUCAUACAGGGAAAAGGAGGUAGCUGACUGAAGAUAAUAAUCACUUUCCGUUCGUCGUAAAUCUCUCCUUAUGAACGAUGGCGAUAGGGUUUGCUCGCACGAAAAUAGAGUUUUUUUCCUGGCCCUCGUAAAAUAUUUAUAUGCGCAAAUAGUGGAGAGUCGAGUCGAAAAUAGGGUUAGUCUGUGAUUCGAUGAAAAGAAGACAUCGAUAAGAUGUUGAUGUCAGAGCGUCUGGGGAAUCGAAGAGGUGAAUCCUCCGGUUUUGAUAGAGAAGUGGACCCAUUACGCUAUCUCUCGAGAAGGUUGUUACUUUUGUUGGACAGCUGUUUCCUUUAAAAAAAAUUGGUUUUAUCGAAACGAGCUCGAAUUAAUCAAAGUGGACAAAGAAGUUUUCUGAUUUUCUUUUUUUUUUUUUUUAAGAAUCAUUAUUUAAUUGAGAAACUCAUUGUGUAACAAAAAUUUGGAUACUUCCUGAGUUCUUUUUUUAAUAAUAGAUUUUUUAAUGACUAUAUUGAGAAAUAGAUUUCAAUUAUAUAUAUAACGAAUAUAGUCGGUCAGAUCUUUGACAGAAAGCCGUUUCUGUAGUCCCGCCCUCGAAACAGGAAAUUAGUUGCCGACAGGCGGUUCGAAUUAUACAUUUCUCGGGAGAACCGGUAAGAAAGUAUCGUGAUCAAAAGAUUCUAUUAAUUUUUGUCUCGGUAUACUUCCAUUUCACUUUGCCUAUAUUCUAACCCACAGUAAAGUUCUUUUUAUGCAAGCUUUCUAAGAGGGGAGAAGUUGUCGACGUGUCCCCUCGACAGCUGCCACCACUGUAAGAUCCGGUUCACACGACUCUCCUCGCUUAUUCUCUUUUUCUUUCUUCUUUUUACAUUUUUAUAGGGGCUUUCUGAAAAUUAUAUUUUACUGAAGUAUCAAAGAAAGAAUAAAAUUUGGGAAAAUUUGAUGGGAAGAUUUAUGAAAAGAAGUGUGAAGCAGUCAUCACAUACGAAGACUUUUUUGCAGAAGAGCACUUAUCAAGGACGUUCAAUUUGCAAUACAUUCACAUGGGGACAGUGUUAGUAGAAGUCAGUAAACAGGAAAACACUGAAGUUUGAAGAUCCUUGCAUAUAUGUCAUGCAGAAAUUUCGGUCUCAAAUACUUAAUUGGUCAUCCUGCAUGAAUUGUGGACCACGUGGUAGCAAAUGUUUGUACACGCUCAAAGAACCAAAUCCAAAUGAAAGUAA
rnacentral:misc_RNA from 1 species